rnacentral:rRNA from 1 species
AUACGUAGGUGGCAAGCGUUGUCCGGAUUUACUGGGUGUAAAGGGCGUGUAGGCGGAGAUGCAAGUCAGGAGUGAAAUCUAGGGGCUCAACCCCUAAACUGCUUUUGAAACUGUAUCCCUUGAGUAUCGGAGAGGCAGGCGGAAUUCCUUGUGUAGAGGUGAAAAGCGUAGAUAUUAGGAGGAACACCAGUGGCGAAGGUGGCUUUCUGGCCUGUAACUGACGCUGAGGCGCGAAAGCGUGGGGAGCGAACGGGAUUAGAUACCCCGGUAGUCCACGCUGUAAACGAUGGGUACUAGGUGUAGGAGGUAUCGACCCCUUCUGUGCCGGAGUUAACGCAAUAAGUACCCCGCCUGGGGAGUACGGCCGCAAGGUUGAAACUCAAAUGAAUUGGCGGGG